ensembl:lncRNA
ACUGCUGCCUUUAACUCUCGGUCACUCUAAAUAUAGACUUAUAACUUUCUUGAACGCCCCUCACUCUCUCUCUCUCUCUCUCUCUCUCUCUCUCACUCUCUCACUUCUCUCUCUCUCUCUCUCUCUCUCUCUCUCUCUCUCUCUCUCUCUCUCUCUCUCUGUCUCUCAUGUUUCCAUGACUCAUUGGUGACACACGCACACUCUCUACAGCAGAAGCUGCAGCCUCUCUGUGAUGCAAUCUCUCCUUCUUUGCACAUACAGACUCCGUUUAGUGUUACAUAGGAAACACUGAGAACGUUUUAAACAAUCUAGAUCUACACAGUUUGGACUGCACACCCGUGGCUGGCGUGGCUCGGAGUUGUCGCUGUUCUCCUGGACGAUGCACAUAUCCAAUACCACUUGAUGCACAUCCAGGCCGACAGUAUGAAGACUGUGUGGCAGCCUUGAAUACAAAGUGAAUGAAACUAUAUCAGCCUUCACAAGCUCUGGUGAGUGAAUUGUGUUACAGUAAAUUUGUGCUACACUUAGGGACUGUGAAAGAAUAUGGAAACUGAGGAGUUGUUUAUGUCUUAUUAGAUCAGUUGUUGUGGCUUCUACUCAUUCCUCUGAUUUUGGGAGUCAUCCUUAUCUGCUACAGCUGUCGCAAAUCACUCUGCAGGUCUAGAGGCCCUUCUGGACAAAGAGAGAAUGAGCUUGCAACACUGACCCCCAACAAGUCAGUUGACCCUUACUCGCCAAUAAGCUUUGAUGAGGCACCUAACCACAACAAACCCCUUAUCCCAGAUGGAACACUGAAUGGCAACACAGCACUGAACCUUAAUAUGUCAAUUAACCCCAACUCUCCAAAUUCCACCUCAACAGGGUACUAAACAACAAAAACAACUAAACAUCAGCACAACAC